GGAGCUCAGCCUGUCCUCCUGCUUGGCCUUCCUGCCAUGACCAGACGGGGGUGGGGGGUGUCAGCAGGAAGUGGAAUGAGGACACUGGCUCACUGAUGGGGCCCCAGCCACUCCUGUCUCGCUGGUUGGACCUCCUUUUGUUCUCAGCCUCUCAAUCUUGUGCUGACUUAAGACAACUUGCUAGACGAGGGUUUCUGGUACAACCUGAUGCAGCCUGUCCCACACGGAGGCUGGUCCCUGAUCACCCCAGCUCACAGGGUCCCAUUGUUAACCAAAUAUUUCGCUCCAUCCCAGCCAGGUGGGGCUGUUGGUGUGGGUCCCUGGUGCCUGUGAGCUCAAAGAUCACACCACUGUCCUUCCUGAUCUUCCCUGCUUUGGAGCACCUGCCUCUGGCAGAGGGUGGCCUGGGCUCUGCACGCUUCAGUGGGGGUUGGUUUUGUUUCAAUUCGUUGUGCGCUGGUGAGCAGGAACAGCAGGGUCAGCUGCUCCACAGCUGGCUCUGCUCCUGGGGGGCCUGGCCCUUGCCCACAAACAUAGUCCAGGUGUCUACACAGACACCCAGACACCGCAGUUGCUCUGGCCUCAGGAGGCCCCAUCGUGGAAGGCUGGGGGUACCCAGUCUGCCCUUGGCAGCUGCUGCCAUCCCCGAACCCUGAGGGAGGACACCUGCACGUGCUAAGCACAGGCUCUGCAUCUACCUCCUCCCCGAGCUGGCUCAGCCCGGCAGUGCCACACGGCCCCGGGCAGCGUCCCGUGCUACCAGAGUGCCUUGCCCUCCAGCUCUGACAAUCUAGGCAUGGGAGAGGAGAUGUAGCCAGGACCGAGUCCUUCUCCCAGAGGUCUGGGGCCAAACUGAAGGGCCUUCCGCUGCCCUGAGCCCACAGCAGAAACCUCUCCUGCUGGUCCCCACGGUCUGGGCUCCCUCCUCCCCCGAGGAUGCUGCUGGUAAUUGCCACCAUCAUGGGGGCAGAGGGACUGCACUACCAGACAAAGGAAGCCAACUUCACCUGCAGGCUGAGGGGCCCUGGCACUUGGGGGAGCCCAGCUUUGCUUCCCAUCAAGUGUCCUGAGCUCCCAGCCCAUGUCCAGCAUGGAGCCACCUCCCUCCCCUUCCAACAUGAGCUGCCUCUGCUGGACCUCAGAUGGCCUGGGAGCCUGACCAUUGUGUUCUGCUGGGGAACUUGGGCUGCAGGAUCCUGAGGGCAUCACCCAUGGGCUGGGGAGAUGUCAGCGUCCAGCCAUGGCUCGCUUGAUGCCAACAACCCGUCACUAAAAGGAGUCUUCACGUCUGACAGCAUGAACCAGGAAUUUGCUCCCGUUACCGUAAAUGAGAAAAGUGCUAAUGCGUUACUUAUUGAUCCCAAACCUCCAAAUAAGUCCCUAAAAUGUAUCUAAAACAUCGUAAAA